rnacentral:misc_RNA from 1 species
GAUGAAGAACGCAGCGAAAUGCGAUAAGUAGUGUGAAUUGCAGAAUUCAGUGAAUCAUCGAAUCUUUGAACGCACAUUGCGCCCCUUGGUAUCCCGAGGGGCAUGCCUGUUCGAGCGUCAUUUCACCACUCAAGCCCUCGGGUUUGGUGUUGGGGAUCGGCGAGCCUUUCUGGCAAGCCGGCCCCGAAAUCUAGUGGCGGUCUCGCUGCAGCCUCCAUUGCGUAGUAGUAAAACCCUCGCAACUGGAACGCGGCGCGGCCAAGCCGUUAAACCCCCAACUUCUGAAUGUUGACCUCGGAUCAGGUAGGAAUACCCGCUGAACUUAAGCAUAUCAAUAAGCGGAGGA